UACGUAGGGUGCAAGCGUUAAUCGGAAUUACUGGGCGUAAAGCGUGCGCAGGCGGUUUUGUAAGUCUGACGUGAAAUCCCCGGGCUCAACCUGGGAAUUGCGUUGGAGACUGCAAGGCUAGAAUCUGGCAGAGGGGGGUAGAACUCCACGUGUAGCAGUGAAAUGCGUAGAGAUGUGGAGGAACACCGAUGGCGAAGGCAGCCCCCUGGGUCAAGAUUGACGCUCAUGCACGAAAGCGUGGGGAGCAAACAGG
rnacentral:rRNA from 1 species